GAUGAACGCUGGCGGCGUGCCUAAUACAUGCGAGUCGAGCGAACAGAUGAGGAGCUUGCUCCUCUGACGUUAGCGGCGGACGGGUGAGUAACACGUGGAUAACCUACCUAUAAGACUGGGAUAACUUCGGGAAACCGGAGCUAAUACCGGAUAAUAUAUUGAACCGCAUGGUUCAAUAGUGAAAGUCGGUUUUGCUGUCACUUAUAGAUGGAUCCGCGCCGCAUUAGCUAGUUGGUAAGGUAACGGCUUACCAAGGCAACGAGGGUAAGACGACCUGAGAGGGUGGACGGACACCCUGGAACUGAGAAUGGGCACACACUCCUGCGGGGGGCAGCAGUAGGGAAUCUUCCGCAAUGGGCGAGAGCCUGACGUAGCAACGCCGCGUGAGUGAUGAAGGUCUUCGGAUCGUAGAACUCUGUUAUUAGGGAAGAACAAAUGUGUAAGUAACUAUGCACGUCUUGACGGUACCUAAUCAGAAAGCCACGGCUAACUACGUG
rnacentral:rRNA from 1 species